UACGUAGGGUGCAAGCGUUAAUCGGAAUUACUGGGCGUAAAGCGUGCGCAGGCGGUUUUGUAAGCCAGAUGUGAAAUCCCCGGGCUUAACCUGGGAAUGGCAUUUGGGACUGCAAGGCUCGAGUGCGGCAGAGGAGACUGGAAUUCCUGGUGUAGCAGUGAAAUGCGUAGAUAUCAGGAGGAACACCGAUGGCGAAGGCAGGUCUCUGGGCUGACACUGACGCUCAUGCACGAAAGGCGUGGGGAGCAAACAGG
rnacentral:rRNA from 1 species